CCAAUAUCAUGCCAAGAUCUUACAUAAAUCCUGCAAGAUCAUGGAAAGAUCUUGCAUGAUCUUGCAAGAUCUUUCCAUGAUCUUGCAGGAUUUAUGUAAGAUCUUGCCAUUAUCUU